rnacentral:snRNA from 1 species
CCCCUUACCUGCCGGAGGACAGACAGUGGUCAGGAAGGGAGUUCUCCCUGGACUAGGCUAGUCCACCGCACUUCGGCUGCGCUGAUCCCUGCGAUUUCCCCACACGCGGGGCCCUCGUCUGCGGU